AAACCUGCCUCAUAGACUGGGACAACUAUUGGAAACGAUAGCUAAUACCGGAUAACAGCAUUAACUGCAUGGUUGAUGUUUGAAAGUUGGUUAUGCUAACACUAUGAGAUGGCUUUGCGGUGCAUUAGCUAGUUGGUGGGGUAAAGGCCCACCAAGGCGACGAUGCAUAGCCGACCUGAGAGGGUGAUCGGCCACACUGGGACUGAGACACGGCCCAG
rnacentral:rRNA from 1 species